AAUGAAUUCUCACAAGUCCAAUCGCUGUGUCAAAGCAUAUGGCCUUUUAAAAGGCUUUGGUAGCCUGUUGCCUAAUUGUCUUCCGAAAAGAUUCCCCACAUCCUGGUCAAUUCUUCAGCAUAUACACGGCCAUCUCUAUAUUAAGACACUUUAUAUUAAGAUUUGUAAACCUGUUGACUACUGUCACAGGCCACCACCACUCUGGGCAUCUUCAGGUCAUGCUACAUGUUCACCAGUCCUUCCAGCAGUGGGCAGUGCAAAGCUUCCCUCCGCCCACAAGGUUUCUGUGAUCUUUAGCCUUUAUUGUGCAGUUUACUUGUUAACCGGCUUAUAAUGUAUUCAGCCUAUGCUAAUCAUUGACUCCUUUUGGGAAGGGUAGAAGGUAAAAGAUGUAUACAAUCUCUCAGCUGACCUUUUUUUAAUGUUGGGGAAGAAUAAUGAACAACUUUUAUUAUCUACCAUAGACGGCCAGUCUUCUGCUUCUAGGAUGCUCUCCCACCAAUGUGUCCAUCUAUGCUGUCAGCCCUAAAUGCCAGUCCUGUGUAGGAAGUCCUGUGUUCAUUCAGAAAAGUCACCCAGUGUCCAUCCAUUUAUGUCCAUCAUAUUAAAAACAGUUGAGUUAUAUGAUAAAACAUGCUACCAUUAAAUAUUUUAACAGAUUUAAAUAAUAUGAGGAAAUUAUUAAUGGUUGUGACAUGUUAAACAGGAUAAACAAUUUUUUUAUAAUAUAAACUUUUACAUCUAUCAUCUGAAUUAUGCGAGAACAAAAAACAUAGAAAAAAGAUAGGAAAGUACCUUGGGAAGCUGAGGCCGGAGGACUGCUUGAGCCCAGGAACUCAAGAUCAGCCUGGGCAACAUGGCGAAACCCUGUCUCUACAAAAUGUUUUUUAAAUCUAGCCAGACAUGGUGACAGGUACCUUAUAGUCCCAGCUGCUCAGGAGGCUAAGGUGAGAGCAUCACUUGAGCCCAGGAGUUCAAGGCUGCGGCGAGCUGUGUUUGCACUCCAGCCUAGGUGUCAGAGUGAGACUAUGUCUUUAAAAAAAAAAAAAAGAAGAAAGAAAUGUAUUAUAACAUUAGGAGUUGUAGGCGGCAACAUUACAACCAGUAUUUUUCUGAUUACGAUUUUGUAUGUUACAGAUAUUCUAUAUUGAGCGCAUUAUACCAAUAAUCAGAAAACAUUGCUGAAUCAUUUUGUCUUUAAAGAAUCAUCUAAUAGGGAUGGGAAGGAAUACAAAAGUUGUAUUAAGUAAAUGGGAUGAAGCUCUCAGUUCAGAGAUCAAGAUGAUUGGGGGAUAAGAAGAAGAAAAACAUUCCUGCAGGACUGGUCUGGGCAGAAGAGGAGUUGUGGUAACUAGAUAUGAGGAGAAAGAGAGGAAGGAGGCACAGAGCAGUUGGAGCUUGCUGCCUGGAAGAAUGACGGUAUGAUAAAGAGAUGGGAUGAUGUGAAAUAAUUCACAUUGUUAAUUAUGAAGUGUGUUUUGAAUCACCUCAGUGUUACCCAGAAACGACACUCGGUUAUCAUGUUCAGAUAGGGGACAAUGUGUUUUUGCAGUGAUAGCAGUGGAGGGGAAGGGUUGUCAGCUUAAGGGGCAGUUGGUCAUUCUGUCAUCAAAUGAAUUAGUAGCAAGACUUGACCAGCAUUUGUGAAUAAUGAAGCUUUUCUUGCUGACAAACUGCUGAUGUUUACAUUGGGCCAUUAUAAUAGGCAAUUUAAUGUCAUUAAUGACCUUUAUAUAAAAAAUAACUCGUGAAUGAAUGAAUGUAGUGAACAUUAAGUACUGCUAAUAGAAAAAAAAAGGGCAAGGCUUCUUUGCCAACUUGGCAGAAUGAUCAUCAGUAUUUCUGCCUGUUCUUUGCCUCAGGUACACACAUAUUUAUUUUUUAGAGACAAGGUCUGACUGUGUUGCCCAGGCUGGACUUCAACUCCUCAGUACAAGUGAUCCUCCUGCCUGAGCCUCCUGAAUAGCUGGGACUACAGGCCUGCACCACCAUACCCUGCUCUAGUUACACAAAUCUUAAAAUGAUGCUGUUAUGUUAAUUCAAUUAAGAAAGUAAACUAGUUCUAUGAUCCAAGCACAUAGUUGUGACUCAAUUCAUGUUGUUGUUUUUAAUCCUGAAAUGAUAUUGUAAAAUAAGAGCUUUGCCUUAAAGUUUUUGUUACUCAGUUUUUACAUUUGAGGUAAGAAGGCAAGUGGCAGGGAAGAAUGAUUAGCAAUAAAGCUUUUUAAAAGUUCUUCAGAAACAGUAGACAAUUGGUUGAGUCAAAUUGACCUAUAAUGACUAUUCCCAGGAAUUUCCUAGUUCUUAUUCCUUUGGAAGGAAUUGUAACUACCUUAUGCCAUGUAAAGAAUGCUGCUAUUUUACGUUUAUUACAAAGAUGUGCCUACAGAUAAGAAUCAAACUGGAGAACUUUAAAAAUGUUUUAACUUUACCUGAUCUUUUUCUUAGAAAGCUAACUGUAAGUAGGAUAUGGUGCCAAGAAAAAUCAUCAGCCUGAUACUGUGAAAAAAAGACACCCUAUUAAUAUGCCCACAACAUUAUCAGCAAGCUAAGUAACAUCCCUGGACCUUAGUUUCAUUAUAUUUUUAACUAAGUAUGUAUCAGAGCCCUUAACACAAGCCCAAUAUAUUUUGGAACCUCAAUAAAUAGUGGUUUUGCUGAUUGUCUUUUUAACAAUUUCUAAAAUAUUGAAUACUGGUUAUUAUAAUUAAAUGUAUUCUAAACAUCUAUUCUUUCUGUCUCAUGCCUUGAUCUAGCCUGUUCCUUCCACCUAGAAUGCCUUUUCCUUCCUUUUCUCACAUAGCAAUCUUUGACAUAUCCUUGAAGACUGAGCUCUCCCAUCAGCCUGGGAGGCCUGGCCUGAUCUGGAAGACGGUUCAGCACGUCUUUCUCUGUUGCCAUAGUGCGGGAUUUUUGUCUAUUUUCAGCAGGUCGUUCCAGACUGCAAGCCUCUGGAGGGCAGUGACUCGAUCCCAUUCAGCUCCAUAUCCCCACUACCAGCAUGGCAUGCAUUGGGGGUGUCCAUACAUAUACAGAACAGAAACUUUCAGGGUUUGGCCAAUUUUACUUUUCCUUAGCAUGUAUUAUCAUAAAGUGAUGUAAGUACUAUAUGCCUGGAUUUGUCUUAUUACUACAUCUAUUUGUUAGUAAAAGGAGGUUACAUGUUGCCUUAGUGGUUUCUUUGCACUUAAAUAUUUUUUAAAUUAUUUGGUUCUUGGCUGGGAACUUAGUCCAAUAUGUCUGCUAAAGUAUUUCCCAUUUCUUGCCACCUCUACAAUAGUGCCAUAAUUUCCAAGUUGAUUUGACAUGUAUCAUCUUUAUUCUCACAAUCCUGAGAGGUAUAUAGAGCAAGAAUUAAGUUCUACAUUUAACAAAAGAGAAAACACACAGAGAUUGAUUGGCUCUAGGUUAUAUAGCUAACUGGUAACAAACCAAUUUUUAUUAAAAUUAAUUUUAAAAAUUUAACUUUUAAAGUUUAUCUUAAAUGAUGAACAUCGCUUGUGUUUUUCUUGCAUGUAGUUUCUAUUUUAGGAGAAUUUGCCUAGGGGUAGUUCUGAAACCAAGUAAAAGUAAUUGGAUUAUGAAGGUCUUCUACCUUAAACUAGCUGUCAACUUUAAACUCAACCAUUUAAUAAUUAAAUUUAAACUUUACAUUUGUUUAAUUUAGUAAUGUUUCUUCACAUUAAUCAAUUUUUCAAAUUAGG
rnacentral:lncRNA from 1 species